rnacentral:lncRNA from 1 species
CAAAGAUGCAAUGAUGUAAAGUAUGCUGAUGAAGCUGAAGGCGAAGACGGAGCUCAUUGGAAUUCUUACAACAGAAAAGACCAUCUAAGGAUAUGAGAGAGAUUGUGGAGGUAUAGAAGUUAAACCUAAUACAUUUUUGCCUUCCUUUUCAAAAGGAAAAGGUAGUAAAAUACACUUCACAACUGUUGUUCAUAAAGCUAUUUUUCCACACUUUAUUUUCAUGGUUAUAAUUAUUAAUUAAUCUUUUUCACUUCUAAAGAAAAUAAUUCCACCUUCACAAACACAGAGUAAGCAAGGAAGCUCAAGUUCAAUGAUAAGAUUAGUUUUUUAGACACAGAUCAACAGCAAGCAACGGUCUCUUAGGACUGACAAAAUUCCAAGUUUUCAGGUAUUGAAUUGGCCACCGCCUUCCAAAUAAGGAAGCCCAUAACUAACCAAGUGAGGAAAUAAAUAUAUUUAACUGAUAGAACCUCAAAAGAUACAAAUUGAAAAGAAAUUUUAUCUCAUUCCUCCCUACUUUACCGAGUAGCAGAGCCUAGUUCCAACGAACAAGAAGAGACUCACUUUAGUAAGUAGGCAUAGAAAAGAAUUCUGAACUCCCAAUGUUUCUGAAAGAGAUUAUAUGGAAACACAAUAGCCCGUCGCUGAUUUCAUGUAUUAACAACCAAAUUAUUAUUUAAGUGCACCAACUGAUGCUUCAAACUCGAGCUUUCAUUUGCACUUUAACCAUGAUAAUUCAUGCAUAGAGUAACGAAGACAGGUUAUGUCUACUAGCGAUAUUAAUUAUAUAAGAGUGAUAAAUGCCAAACAAUGAAGCACUGCAAACCUGUGUACCAGUUGAUUAUUCUGGAAAGAUAAGAAAAUGGAAAAACGGAACUGGAUAGUAUUAAGCAAAAUACCUGAGUAUUUGAGGGAAGAAAUGGCAGCUCCGACUUCCCUGGAUAAAGAGAGAGAUUGGCCAAGUAGCUCUCUGCAGAAAUAGGAAGAAUAGUUUCUCAAAACGAAUAGUUACAGAUAUUUACAACUGCACGGCAAUCAAGUAGUACACUCUGUGAUGGUCUCUGUGCACAGGUCAUAUACUACUCACGAGCUUGAGAUUUGAGGACUCCCUUAUAGAGCGAUCCCUGCAUCAGUUUACCAGCUUCAACAUGUUCGGCCUCACCAUUACCCUCGGCUGAUUCAGCAGCAAAACCAACUUGAAAUAUACACGUGCCAUCAUAAACAACAACCAGAGACCGGCAGCACGUUACUUCUGACAGAGACUUCCAUACCCUACGUAAUGGCAGCAAAAAGUAACCAUUAACCACCGAGUCCAGGAUUUCCCUUUUUAUGAGAUACAUGGCAUAUGAAGUUAGCUUUCUCCAUCAUUAAACAUUUGCACGAUCAUGUGACAAUGAGGGGGGACAGAAUGACAUAUGGAUUACACAAUUCCAAAAGAUACAAGCGUAAUUAAUAGAUAAAAUGUCAACCCUCAAGCACGCCAUCAUGUUUCACUCAUCAAUCUCCAUUAACCAAGCCAACCAAACAUCCCAAGUAUCAAAAAGUGAUUUUCAGUGAUCUUAGCGACUACAGUUUUAAAAUAUCAUAGAAGAAAAAUUAUAGAGUAUUUACCAUAACAACUCAGAUGUUACACGAUCAGGGAGACUGGAGCAAAUCCUCUCAUUUUCCACUCCUAGUGGAUUUACCUGAUACGGAAAAUGAAAGUAGGGGAAACAAAUAAGAAAAUGAGUAGAAACAGGCUACUCCUGAGCUGAUUGUUGCAGUGAGAGAGGAGAGGUUAAGUAUGAAAAUCUUAUCGUAAACCCCUCACCGGUGUUAUAGAUUUCGGCCUGAUCGACAGCCACACCAAACCAGCCAAGACAUUCGUAACAGCAAGUCCUAGGGUUAACAGAUCAGCUCUUGACUGUGAACUGCCGGAAUGAAAAAAGUUCAUCAUAAUAAAUAGAACAACCAAUUACGUAAAGAACAAGCUCAAAGCAAAUGUUAGUUGCAGAACAAUCCCGCCAAAAUAGGAAAACACCAUUAUCGACGAUUAGAAUUUGCAUUCUUGCCUCAACCAAUUAUUGAUUUCUUCUCUCAAAUUAAAACUAAUUCAAGCGAUGCAUUUCUACUAUUCCAGGAUAAGCAAAUACAAAACUGACUAGAGGAAGUAAACAGCAUUCGAUAAUAGAUAAACUGAUUCAACUUGAACGAACCUGCUGGCAUCGGCGACGGGAGCAAUGCCGGAAACGGCGCGAUUAAAGAGGA